rnacentral:rRNA from 1 species
UACGUAGGGUGCAAGCGUUGUCCGGAAUUAUUGGGCGUAAAGAGCUCGUAGGCGGUUUGUUGCGUCGGCUGUGAAAUCCCGAGGCUCAACCUCGGGUCUGCAGUCGAUACGAGCAAACUAGAGUGUUGCAGGGGAGACUGGAAUUCCUGGUGUAGCGGUGAAAUGCGCAGAUAUCAGGAGGAACACCGGUGGGGAAGGCGGGUCUCUGGGCAACAACUGACGCUGAGGAGCGAAAGCGUGGGGAGCAAACAGG